AUUGAACGCUGGCGGCAGGCCUAACACAUGCAAGUCGAACGGUAACAGGAAACAGCUUGCUGUUUCGCUGACGAGUGGCGGACGGGCGAGUAAUGUCUGGGAAACUGCCUGAUGGAGGGGGAUAACUACUGGAAACGGUAGCUAAUACCGCAUAACGUCGCAAGACCAAAGAGGGGGACCCCCGGGCCUCUUGCCAUCGGAUGUGCCCAGAUGGGAUUAGCUUGUUGGUGGGGUAACGGCUCACCAAGGCGACGAUCCCUAGCUGGUCUGAGAGGAUGACCAGCCACACUGGAACUGAGACACGGUCCAGACUCCUACGGGAGGCAGCAGUGGGGAAUAUUGCACAAUGGGCGCAAGCCUGAUGCAGCCAUGCCGCGUGUAUGAAGAAGGCCUUCGGGUUGUAAAGUACUUUCAGCGGGGAGGAAGGGAGUAAAGUUAAUACCUUUGCUCAUUGACGUUACCCGCAGAAGAAGCACCGGCUAACUCCGUG
rnacentral:rRNA from 1 species